CCUACGGGAGGCAGCAGUGGGGAAUAUUGCACAAUGGGGGAAACCCUGAUGCAGCGAAGCCGCGUGAAGGAAGAAGUAUCUCGGUAUGUAAACUUCUAUCAGCAGGGAAGAAAAUGACGGUACCUGACUAAGAAGCCCCGGCUAACUACGUGCCAGCAGCCGCGGUAAUACGUAGGGGGCAAGCGUUAUCCGGAUUUACUGGGUGUAAAGGGAGCGUAGGCGGUUUAGCAAGUCAGAAGUGAAAGCCCGGGGCUCAACUCCGGGACUGCUUUGGAAACUGUUGAACUAGAUUGCGGGAGAGGUAAGUGGAAUUCCUAGUGUAGCGGUGAAAUGCGUAGAUAUGAGGAGGAACACCAGUGGCGAAGGCGGCUUACUGGACUGUAAAUGACGCUGAGGCUCGAAAGCGUGGGGAGCGAACAGGAUUAGAUACCCCAGUAGUC
rnacentral:rRNA from 1 species